rnacentral:lncRNA from 1 species
AACAUAAACAAAGUAAUAGGAAGGCUUAAAUAUGAUCAUAGUGGCUGAACCUUAAAAUGCUAGCCAUUAUGAAAUCAACAUAAACAAUCGUCUAUUUGCAGAAACCGAAAAAACCAAAAUAUGAACACUUGGAAAGGCAGUAUAUAUAACUAAAUAUCAGAAGAAUAAGUCCAUAAAUGAUAGAUACCCAUUUGGAGACAUUAUCAAAAAAGAGUCAUAAUGUUAAUUUGGCCUGAAUGUAGAAACCUCAAAUCAUCACCGGACUUGUCUGUGUGUCUAUCUUCGUUUGCUGUUCCAUGAUAGUUAUAUCUGUACGAUAAAAUUUAGAAAUCAUUUAGCAAUGAGGAAGUGUAAGAAUAAAUGGUAGAUUUAGUUAUGUGAAAAUAAAGAUUUGCAUCAGGAAAUUUAGCUCUAAAAAUAGAUGCAAGUAAUCGGAAUCUGAAUUAAUGAACCACAUCUAAGGGAAUACCCAUUAGCAGCUUGUAUAUAUCAUGCUAAAAAUCAUUAGAGAUGAUGGUCUCUUAAAAAAGCUUAGGAAAUCAUGACUAGAAAGAAAAUCAUUUUCCUAAAAUGACAACAAUUCAUUCUUGAACUAACUCCUGAACAUUGUAAUCAGUUGUAAGCUAAUACCUCUGUUUGCAUAUGAAUUGUAAAUCAUAUUAGUGUAUCUAUUUGUUUUGAUAGCUAAACACCCACAAAUGCUUGGCAAGGCUAUAGUGGGCAGAUAGAUGUUGCUUCAUCAAUCACUCAAGCCAAAAGUUUGUACCUUCUGCCAGCAGCAAUCUGAGCCUUGGAAUUUUUUUACCAUAACUGGCUAAUCUUUCAGUUUUGUCAAACCAUUAUUACCAAAUUAAGUGCAAUUUUUUUGCAUGAAGGAUUUUGAGGAAUUUGCAAAAUCAAAUAAAUUUAAAAGUAAACUGAAUAGGCAAUACUUGUAAAUUGAAAACUCACAUCACAGUGAAAAGAGAAAAGUUCCAUUUGAUAUGAUGAUGAAAGUCAUGAAACCACUGCCACAGAGCUUAGAAAUUACAAAUACACAAUUUAUUUGUUGUGAACUGCAAUUCAUUGAGAUAACCACAACAACAAAUUACAGAGAGAGAUGUAAUGGAUGAUGAGUUGGGGAAGAAAGAAAAGGAUUACGGUGGAGAGAGAUUGCAGAACACCACAUGAGAAUAAAGAAUAGCACGUAACUACGUACUAUGACUGCUGGUGAGCGGUUAUGUUCCCAGAGUAUUACCCACCGACAGAUUAGACUAUUUUGUUGAGAUCGAUGUAUGAUCCAACGACCAAGGUUAUAUAUUCCAGCCGACGGAUUCGCCAAUAAAGCUCGAGAUGCUCAAUUGCUGUAGUAAGAUAGAAUAGAUAGAUACUGUACGUAGAAGGUCGGUGGGUGUUUGGGCUGGAGUUAGUAUACGAAGUGGAGAAGGGGAACAUGUUGUACAAGGUUUGAAUACUAUAUAUAUAAAAUCUGAACAAAGGAAAACAGAAAGAAGGCACAGCUAGCUCGAUAAGCACCCAUAAAACAGAAAGAAAAAACAGUUUUUUCAUAGGCUAAUAAAACAGUACGUACGUCUGCACCAAAUCAAUUAAUAAAUCAUGAAAAUUAACAUAAACAAGAAGAGAAGAAGGAUUUCUGCAAAAGGAAAACUCAAACUCCAACAUACAUCAAUCAACAAGAAGAAGAAAAGAAGAAUCUCUGCAAAAGAUGAAGAAGAAACAACAAUACUUACACGACAACAACAUCUAUCAAAUGUGCUCCCACACGACAUUAUGCUUG